AAAAUAAGGGCACCUACAAAACAGGGAGAGUGAGGAGUUGGGAUCUUUUCUGUUGUGUCUCAGAACUUCAGGGUUAAGACCCUUCCUGGGUGAUGGAUAAAGGAAGUCAUUGUCCAGAUGAAAGACUCAUGAACUUGGAGACAGGAAUGAAGCCAUUGAAGCAACUUGGACGUCGGGAAUUCACUGAAGACCAGACUAAAGAGGGGCUUGUUCUAAUAGAAAUUCAUCUAAAAAGUUGGAGAUUCUGUAGAAGAUCUGAUGAAGAGGGCCAAUCACUGAGGAAAAAUGGAUAGCAUCCUAAAACAGUGGGUAGUAAGGGAACCGGUAUGUCUGAUCUU
rnacentral:lncRNA from 10 species